UAUUAGUAAAUUAAUUUGUAUAGCUUCUCAAGGAACCUCAAGUCACUUGGUCCCAUUUUAAACGAGGUACUCUGUUUUAAAUGGUUUACAAAUACUUUUUGGACCCACUGUAUCUAAACAUCAUGUGAAUGUGACUGGGAUUUCCUCGAAGCAUCAUACGGGCAGUAUAUCUCUUAUGACAUUAACUAUGACCUACAUAAAUGUCCACCUCUUAAAAACCGUCGGCUAUAAAAGUCUGGAAACAUUUUGCAAAUGUAACCUGUCUGAUCUCGACGAUCUACCAACAGACGACUUUCAAUCCAAUUCUUCAUCAUGGAAUCUUUAAGAAGAGUCUUUACCAUCUUCAUAGCAAUCUUUUGCGUGUUUGCAUCGAUGAUCGCUAUCGAGGCAGCUACGCGCGCUGUUCCAUCAGGGGCUAUAACAGCGUAUCCCAUUCCUCAAAGGCCGCCGUAUGCACCGCAUCCUUGGGUCUAUCCGAAGCCAACCACUCAAUCCACUCCUCAAUGAACAUUUCUAUCCAAUUUAGUUGGAAAGAUGGGAAGAAUGCUGCAGAUGUAAUCCUUACUGCCGGGAUUCGUUCUGUAAUAAUUACAAGUUUGCUGUAGUUUCGUAAUACGAUAUUGAUUUAGUAUGUUUUUGUCAUUGAAAUUCUCUGUACAGAAUUACGCAGCGCGACGCGAACGUUGUGAAUCCUAUUUUUAACCAAAGAUUUAAUGUUUUAUGAUUAAACAGAAAUUAUAUAUAUUUUGUUUCAAUAUUAAGGAUAUUAUAAAUAAAACAUGCUUACCGUA